rnacentral:rRNA from 1 species
UCGAACGGUAACAUUUCUAGCUUGCUAGAAGAUGACGAGUGGCGGACGGGUGAGUAAUGCUUGGGAACUUGCCUUUGCGAGGGGGAUAACAGUUGGAAACGACUGCUAAUACCGCAUAAUGUCUUCGGACCAAACGGGGCUUUUAGCUCCGGCGCAAAGAGAGGCCCAAGUGAGAUUAGCUAGUUGGUAAGGUAACGGCUUACCAAGGCGACGAUCUCUAGCUGUUCUGAGAGGAAGAUCAGCCACACUGGGACUGAGACACGGCCCAGACUCCUACGGGAGGCAGCAGUGGGGAAUAUUGCACAAUGGGGGAAGCCCUGAUGCAGCCAUGCCGCGUGUGUGAAGAAGGCCUUCGGGUUGUAAAGCACUUUCAGUUGUGAGGAAAAGUUAGUAGUUAAUACCUGCUAGCCGUGACGUUAACAACAGAAGAAGCACCGGCUAACUCCGUGCCAGCAGCCGCGGUAAUACGGAGGGUGCGAGCGUUAAUCGGAAUUACUGGGCGUAAAGCGCACGCAGGCGGUUUGUUAAGCUAGAUGUGAAAGCCCCGGGCUCAACCUGGGAUGGUCAUUUAGAACUGGCAGACUAGAGUCUUGGAGAGGGGAGUGGAAUUCCAGGUGUAGCGGUGAAAAUGCGUAGAUAUCUGGAGGAACAUCAGUGGCGAAGGCGACUCCCUGGCCAAAGACUGACGCUCAUGUGCGAAAGUGUGGGUAGCGAACGGGAUAGAUACCCUGGUAGUCC